AUUCACCCGUGGUUUGUGAGUGAAAUGGUUUUGAAAGGUUAUUAAAACUACAACUAGGGCCAGUCUCCUUAAUUCAACAGCCAUCUGGGCAAGAGAACGAACCAGGAGAAAGAAAAAGUAUCAUUUGAAAAGGCUGCGAAUUUUCUGAAGAUAAUCUUCUGCAUUUGGCAUUGUUAAAUAUUUUCUGCCAUCUUUGAAUGAUGGAACCGGAUUAUCAAAAUCACUUUAAAGAUCCAGAAUCCUCUGCUAUGCUCAAUAGUAGAGGUGUGACUGCUGACUCCAGAAACCAAUGGAAGCAAUUGGGGGAAGAGGAGAGAAAGAUGGCAGUUCAGGAAGAGAUGAAGAGGGUGCAUCAAUUGCCUGCUAAUAGUAGCUAUGCCAUUCACCGUCGCCGUGUUCUCAGUAAAAUAUUCCAGCUCAUGACUAUUCAGAGAUCUGCAUCUGAGGAUGAGGAGUUG